CAAAGAAGAUAUUUUUCCUUGCCYAGACCAAUAACAGAGUCACUCUCCGAGUUURCCCUGCAGUUCCGGAAGGGACAGCYCACCAAUGGAUGUGGACCUCACAUGAUGGCAGACACUCAAACACUUCAGUAGCCCYAAUCACUUCAUCCAUGAAUAGAAAMCCUUCAWGGAACAUACAGGCUCCUUUCUCACAAGGAACAGGAUAUGAUCUUUCUWUCCCCCCAAAAUMUGAAAWUGCUGGAGAGUUUGUYUUCAUGCAAACCAAACCAGCUUCAGCCGUUCUGGCGAGAUUUGAGGUGUUUGGUUUUGUGUUUAAAGUGACACCAAACUAUAAUGGUAAUSAAGRGUAUCUMGGUUCUGAUGUGAGUGUGCGUUGCGAGGUGUCCAGRKUACCAGAUGGGGCCACACUUCAGUGGGAAAGAGAUGGAGAUUCCACUUCUAACACCACGUUGUUCUACAACAAAACGGCCCACAUGAURAUCCACACUGUCGKUCAGAAUUACCAGGGGAGAURCAACUGCAAUUUCAGACUGAAUGGAGAAUUGUUGUUUACAGUUUAUACUACACUGAAUGUGCAAACAGACACAUUUAAUAAACCAUUGAUAGAUCUGUUUCGAGAGAGCAGCAACAGCAGUGAGYUGAAGUUGAUCUGCAGAUKUAGUAACARAUACAGCAGAGCCGCAUGGACCAUGAGCAGAUCAACAUCUGUUACUCUGACUUCAUCGGACAAAGUCAGAAGUGACCGAUUCUCAUCUCCCCCAUUCAACGGAUAUGAUUUCCCACUGCAUGUCUCACCAGUGACAUUUGAGGAUAGUGGAACGUUCWCAUGUUUCUUUGAWYGCRAUARAU